rnacentral:rRNA from 1 species
UACGUAGGGUGCAAGCGUUAUCCGGAAUUAUUGGGCGUAAAGCGUGCGUAGGCGGUUGUCUAAGUCUGGUGUGAAAUCUCCCGGCUCAACUGGGAGGGUGCGCCGGAAACUGGAUGACUGGAGUGCCGGAGAGGUAAGCGGAAUUCCUGGUGUAGCGGUGAAAUGCGUAGAGAUCAGCAGGAACACCCGUGGCGAAGGCGGCCCCCUGGGCCGUACCUGACGCUGAGGCGCGAAGGCUAGGGGAGCGAACGGG